rnacentral:misc_RNA from 1 species
GGGUAUGCGGAAGGAUCAUUAAAGAGUAAGGGUGCUCAGCGCCCGACCUCCAACCCUUUGUUGUUAAAACUACCUUGUUGCUUUGGCGGGACCGCUCGGUCUCGAGCCGCUGGGGAUUCGUCCCAGGCGAGCGCCCGCCAGAGUUAAACCAAACUCUUGUUAUUUAACCGGUCGUCUGAGUUAAAAUUUUGAAUAAAUCAAAACUUUCAACAACGGAUCUCUUGGUUCUCGCAUCGAUGAAGAACGCAGCGAAAUGCGAUAAGUAAUGUGAAUUGCAGAAUUCAGUGAAUCAUCGAAUCUUUGAACGCACAUUGCGCCCCUUGGUAUUCCGAGGGGCAUGCCUGUUCGAGCGUCAUUACACCACUCAAGCUAUGCUUGGUAUUGGGCGUCGUCCUUAGUUGGGCGCGCCUUAAAGACCUCGGCGAGGCCACUCCGGCUUUAGGCGUAGUAGAAUUUAUUCGAACGUCUGUCAAAGGAGAGGAACUCUGCCGACUGAAACCUUUAUUUUUCUAGGUUGACCUCGGAUCAGGUAGGGAUACCCGCUGAACUUAA